rnacentral:rRNA from 1 species
GAUGAACGCUGGCGGCGUGCCUAAUACAUGCAAGUCGAGCGAACGGACGAGAAGCUUGCUUUUCUGAUGUUAGCGGCGGACGGGUGAGUAACACGUGGAUAACCUACCUAUAAGACUGGGAUAACUUCGGGAAACCGGAGCUAAUACCGGAUAAUAUUUUGAACCGCAUGGUUCAAAAGUGAAAGACGGUCUUGCUGUCACUUAUAGAUGGAUCCGCGCUGCAUUAGCUAGUUGGUAAGGUAACGGCUUACCAGGGCAACGAUGCAUAGCCGACCUGAGAGGGUGAUCGGCCACACUGGAACUGAGACACGGUCCAGACUCCUACGGGAGGCAGCAGUAGGGAAUCUUCCGCAAAGGGCGAAAGCCUGACGGAGCAACGCCGCGUGAGUGAUGAAGGUCUUCGGAUCGUAAAACUCUGUUAUUAGGGAAGAACAUAUGUGUAAGUAACUGUGCACAUCUUGACGGUACCUAAUCAGAAAGCCACGGCUAACUACGUG